rnacentral:misc_RNA from 1 species
AAGUCGUAACAAGGUUUCCGUAGGUGAACCUGCGGAAGGAUCAUUACAGUGUCUGGAGGCCGACCGGCGGCGUUUCCCUCACGGGGAGCGUCGUGGCUCGUGCCCCCUCCACACGUGUUUACUACACCCUGUUGCCUUGGUGGGUCUGCCCUUGUGGCUGCCGGGGGUCACCUUGUGUGUCUCGGGCCCGUACCCACCGAUGGACACCCUGAACUCUUUAUGAAUAUAGUGUUGUCUGAGCGUUUAGCAAAUUAAACAAAACUUUCAACAAUGGAUCUCUUGGUUCUG